UACAGAGGUCUCAAGCGUUGUUCGGAUUCAUUGGGCGUAAAGGGUGCGUAGGCGGCGCGGUAAGUCGGGUGUGAAAUCUUGGAGCUUAACUCCGAAACUGCAUUCGAUACUACCGUGCUUGAGGACUGGAGAGGAGACUGGAAUUUACGGUGUAGCGGUGAAAUUCGUAGAUAUUCGCAAGAACACCAGUGGCGAAGGCGGCGCACUGGCCCGGUACUGACGCUGAGGUGCGAAAGCGUGGGGAGCAAACAGG
rnacentral:rRNA from 1 species